GACGAACGCUGGCGGCGUGCCUAAUACAUGCAAGUAGAACGAUUUGCGAACAGGUGAGUAACGCGUAGGUAAAUGCCUCCUAGCGGGGGAUAACUCUUUGAAAAGCUAGCUAUUAUAGCAUACUGUAAGCUGGCCCUGCGUUGUAUGAGCUAGUUGGUGCGGUAAAGGCCAACCAAGGCGACGCUACAUAGCCGAACUGAGAGGGUGAACGGCCACAUGGGGACUGAGACACGGCCCAGACUCCUACGGUAGGCAGCAGUAGGGAAUCUGCGGAAAUGGACGGAAGUCUGACCGAGCAACGCCGCGUUAGUGAAGAAGGUUUUCGGGUCGUAAAGCUCUGUUGUUAGGGAAGCGGUAACUAAACAGAAAGGGACGGCUAACUACGUGCCAGCAGCCGCGGUAAUAC
rnacentral:rRNA from 1 species